UGAGGGCUGGAGAGAUGGUUCAGU
rnacentral:piRNA from 1 species